rnacentral:rRNA from 1 species
AUUGAACGCUGGCGGCAUGCUUUACACAUGCAAGUCGAACGGCAGCGCGGGCUUCGGCCUGGCGGCGAGUGGCGAACGGGUGAGUAAUGCAUCGGAACGUGCCCAGUAGUGGGGGAUAGCCCGGCGAAAGCCGGAUUAAUACCGCAUACGACCUGAGGGUGAAAGCGGGGGACCGAAAGGCCUCGCGCUAUUGGAGCGGCCGAUGUCGGAUUAGCUAGUUGGUGGGGUAAAGGCUUACCAAGGCGACGAUCCGUAGCUGGUCUGAGAAGACGACCAGCCACACUGGGACUGAGACACGGCCCAGACUCCUACGGGAGGCAGCAGUGGGGAAUUUUGGACAAUGGGGGCAACCCUGAUCCAGCCAUGCCGCGUGCGGGAAGAAGGCCUUCGGGUUGUAAACCGCUUUUGUUCGGGUAGAAAUCCUCUGGGCUAAUACCCCGGGGGGAUGACGGUACCGGAAGAAUAAGCACCGGCUAACUACGUG